rnacentral:rRNA from 1 species
CAGUAGCCGCGGUAAUAUGUAGGGUGCAAGCGUUAAUCGGAAUUACUGGGCGUAAAGCGUGCGCAGGCGGUUAUAUAAGUCAGAUGUGAAAUCCCCGGGCUCAACCUGGGAACUGCAUUUGAGACUGUAUGGCUAGAGUACGGUAGAGGGGGAUGGAAUUCCGCGUGCAGCAGUGAAAUGCGUAGAUAUGCGGAGGAACACCGAUGGCGAAGGCAAUCCCCUGGACCUGUACUGACGCUCAUGCACGAAAGCGUGGGGAGCAAACAGGAUUAGAUACCCCAGUAGUCCCUGUCUCUUAUAC